rnacentral:rRNA from 1 species
UACGGAGGGUGCAAGCGUGAUCCGGAAUCACUGGGUUUAAAGGGUGCGUAGGCGGCUUGGUAAGUCAGAGGUGAAAGCCCGCAGCUUAACUGCGGAACUGCCUUUGAUACUGCCGAGCUUGUAAGAGGUUGAGGUCAGCGGAACGUGACAUGUAGCGGUGAAAUGCAUAGAUAUGUCACAGAACACCAAUUGCGAAGGCAGCUGGCUGGGCCUACUUUGACGCUGAGGCACGAAAGCGUGGGGAGCAAACUGG